GUGAAUCAUCGAAUCUUUGAACGCACCUUGCGCCCCUUGGUUAUUCCUCGGGGCAUGCCUGUUUGAGUAUCAUGAACACCUCAACUCUCAUGGGUUUCCAUGAUGAGCUUGGACUUUGGGGGUUUGCUGGCCCUGCGGUCGGCUCCUCUCAAAUGAAUCAGCUUGCCAUUGUUGGUGGCAUCCCACGGGUGUGAUAACUAUCUACGCUCGCGGUUGUCUGCCAGGUAACCCUCAGCGAUGAAGGUUCAUUGGGGCUCACAAACGUCUCUCCUCGGCGAGGACGACUUUUGAACGUUCGAUCUCAAAUCAGGUAGGACUACCCGCUGAACUUA
rnacentral:rRNA from 1 species